UACGUAGGGCGCAAGCGUUGUCCGGAAUUAUUGGGCGUAAAGAGCUCGUAGGCGGCCUGUUGCGUCCGCUGUGAAAUCCCGGGGCUCAACCCCGGGCCUGCAGUGGAUACGGGCUGGCUAGAGGCAGGCAGGGGAGAACGGAAUUCCUGGUGUAGCGGUGAAAUGCGCAGAUAUCAGGAGGAAUACCGGUGGCGAAGGCGGUUCUCUGGGCCUGUACUGACGCUGAGGAGCGAAAGCGUGGGGAGCGAACAGG
rnacentral:rRNA from 1 species